rnacentral:lncRNA from 1 species
GCCCUUCUCCAAGGACAUCGCACAGACAUCCCGGGAGUCCCCAUCUCUGAAGUUCAAGGGCAGGUUCUCAGUUAUUCCAGGGAUGCACCGAGCGAGCUUUGCUUUCACCGGCGCUGGACGGUCAUGCAAUACGCCUCGUGUUCUCACAGUGAGGAAAGAGUGAACUGCUUUCUUUUCGGCAAAAGCAGAGAAAACUCUGUAGCUCUCUCCUUUAGGGUGUGCUGCCUAGCACAUCACCUGGAGAAGCAUAGCUACUUCUGGCAACAGCAGCAAACCCUGCCCAGAUCUCGUGCCAGGAUUCCCAAGCUCAUUGUUCAUCUUCCUGAUUCACCCUCAAGACACCAGUGCUGUCAGACAGUUAAUUAGAACAUGCUCCAGUGCAGAAGCGAUCCUGGUUCAGUUUCUUAACCAUACUCUGUACUCAAAUGCCCUUAAAGAGAAGCAAAAAGAUUUGAAAAUAAAAUCAAGCCAAUAGAACGUUUCCAAGAUGGUGAAGAGUCCAGGAUCAGAGCNNNNNNNNNNNNNNNNNNNNNNNNNNNNNNNNNNNNNNNNNNNNNNNUUAUAUUGAUCAGCUUUUGCUGUGUUCUAGGCACUAUGCUCAGCACUUUACUUAGGUUUUUCUCAGCACAUCCUCUCGCGCUGUCUGCAGAAGGUGCAAUUACCUCCCCCGCUUAAACCCGAGACAACACCAGCACUUUCGUGAGGUUUAGCAAUUUACACAAGGGCGUGCAGCAAGUUUUUGGACCCUCCUCAUUUCUAAAAAAACAGCAACAACAGAAACUGUAUCAUCUGGAUAAAGUCAAGUUUUAGCAACUUCAAAAAGAAAGAAAAAAUAUGAUCUCAACAUUUCUCGGAUUGCCUCGGCAGUAGAAGGGCUGGUUGAAUGAAUCUGAUCUCAAUGCCUUUAACGGUUUCUGGUUGAACCAUCUUCUUUGAAACUAACUGUUUCUGAAGGCUGGAUCGACGUAAUCAAUCAAUUCUGAACAGCAACACAGUCUAUGUGGUUUUACAGCCGUUCCUCUUCCCGCCUCCCAGGCUGGCGUGAUUGUCUACUAGGAGAGAGGAAGACCAGGAGGUCUGAAGAGCAGAACAGAAAAGCUCAGCCAUCUUCCCUUCCUCCUAAAUGGACUUAAGAAACCAUCACGGUGUGAUCUCGUUUUCUCAUUUGAAGUGUAGACAUAACUCCUUCUCAGUAACCAGAGCCUGAUCAGUCCUGCUGAUUCCAAAACAGAGUCACAGCAUCAACACAGGUUACGUUCACACAGGCCUCCAUCAAGCUAAACCCUCUCCACUCACCUUCCUCUGCUGGCCAUCACGUACUGGGCUUAAGUCUCCCCAGGAGUGUGUACUGCGUGGGCAAAUGAAAACGGUAAUGGGGAGCCAGGCUUCCCAGGGGGUGCAGUGGUAAAGAAUGUCUGCA